UUCCUGUCUGAAUCAGAAAUUAAACACGGAAAAUAAUAAAAAUAGCAAAAAUUUGUGGCCAAGUAGGAUUUUUAAGAUCCUUCCUAGAUCGUUGCUUUCGAUAUAUUGCGAGCUCGGCGCGUGGCGUGGCGACGGACCCCAAUUGAUAGUCCCAGCAAAAAAAAUAUGUCUUUUUUGAAGAAAACAAAAGAAAAUAUCGAAAGUGUGUGAGUCGGAAAAAAGGAUCUACAGUGAAAGGGAAAAAUAAAUCAGAAAUCGGGAAUAGUGAUGGGAACUCGAUAGAAUUGUCUUUUUAUGAUAUCCAACGAGAAGAGAGAGGCAAGAACCAAGAGGAAGAAGAAGAUGGGCUCUUCUGACUUUCUGAUCACGUGAUCUUAUCCCUUUACCAACAAAACAAAACCAUUCGCUGUUUACGAGACACACCGCGUCGGUUGUGUUCAUCUAAAACGACGCUCAUUUUGUUGUUGGUUUUUCUAAACAGUAAGUAUUGGGCCUUUAUUGGGCUUUUAAAUUUACUCCAUUUCUUAAGGAUUAGUGAACAUCGUGCCGUUUUUCUGUUAAUUGAUCUCACUCUCACAUUGUGAUCUUAUUCAUUGUAUUCAAAAUUCAACUAUUCAUUGUUCAACAGUAUAGAGAAUGUCACGGUUCGAACCUCACAUGAUCGAUAUAGGUCGGUUUUCAAUUAGUAUCGAAUUAUAUAAAUUCAUCUUAUAUGAAUGUCAUCAUUAUGGGUUUGUUGUGAAAUGA
rnacentral:lncRNA from 1 species